UACGGAGGGUGCAAGCGUUGUUCGGAAUCACUGGGCGUAAAGCGCGUGUAGGCGGCCUCGUAAGUCUGGUGUGAAAGCCCGGGGCUUACCCCCGGAAGUGCACUGGAAACUGCAAGGCUUGAGUACCGGAGAGGAGGGUGGAAUUCCUGGUGUAGCGGUGAAAUGCGCAGAUAUCAGGAAGAACACCUAUGGCGAAGGCAGCACUCUGGGACGGUACUGACGCUGAGACGCGAAAGCGUGGGGAGCAAACAGG
rnacentral:rRNA from 1 species